rnacentral:rRNA from 1 species
UACAGAGACUGCGAGCGUUAUUCGGAUUCACUGGGCGUAAAGGGUGUGUAGGCGGUUUUCUAAGUCUGGUGUGAAAUCUCCCGGCUUAACUGGGAGGGUGCGUUAGAUACUGGCAGGCUUGAGUGUGGGAGAGGAGAGCGGGAUUCCUGGUGUAGCGGUGAAAUGCGUAGAUAUCAGGAGGAACGCCUGUGGUGUAGACGGCUCUCUGGACCAUUACUGACACUGAGGUACGAAAGCGUGGGUAGCAAACAGG